rfam:Gossypium hirsutum cultivar TM-1 scaffold9204.1_1, whole genome shotgun sequence
GGGUGCGACCAUACCAACACUAACGCACCGGAUCAUAUCAAAACUCAAAAGUUAAGCAUGCUUGGGCAAGAGUCGUACUAGGAUGGCUGACCUCCUGUAAAGGCCUCGUGUUGCACCCC